CGCGCGCGCGCUCCGAGCCGGAGCUGCCCAGGACUCUUCGGUCAGUGUCCGAGGCUGGGGACUUCCCGAGCGGACAAAACGGGGGCUGGACGGGGAGGGGGGCAGCGCAGCAAAGCACAUGAAGCAAAGGAGAUCCCCAUAAUUGGUGAAUAGCUGAACAAACUUUCUCCAGUUUGCUAGAGAGAGUUCCUGAUUAAAGCAGGCUUGUGGAGGAAGACUUCAGGAAGAACCCAACCAGGCUGGAACUCUAGGCUAGCUCAGAAAAGUGCAAAGACACCAACUGGAAACUUGAAUUGUUUCUCCCUGACAUUGAGUGAGAAAGAAGAAAUUUCUCAAGCCCUUACCUGGUCAUCAUGGGACUUUGAACAUAUGACAUCUGUUUUGCUAUCUCGGUUGCAUUUCACUCUUUCCUGAUCUUGGAUAAUUGAGUUUGGAAAAAUGAAAGACAUUAUGAGCUUCUAAAGAUCAGAGGAGCCACCAGAAGUCCAACAGCAGAACUCUGAAUGGAACCAACACUGAGGAGCAACCUUCUUGACCCAGUUCAAAUGUGGAUUGAUCCACCUGGGUGGAUUGCACCUAGUGAACUCAGCAGUGGGAAUAAUGUUUGUCAGUUGCUCAUCAUUCCCAAAGAGUGAAGUGGUUGAGGGGACAAAGUGCCCCAUUUCAAAGA